AGUGAACGCUGGCGGUAGGCCUAACACAUGCAAGUCGAACGGCAGCACAGUAAGAGCUUGCUCUUACGGGUGGCGAGUGGCGGACGGGUGAGGAAUACAUCGGAAUCUACUUUUUCGUGGGGGAUAACGUAGGGAAACUUACGCUAAUACCGCAUACGACCUACGGGUGAAAGCAGGGGUUCUUCGGACCUUGCGCGAUUGAAUGAGCCGAUGUCGGAUUAGCUAGUUGGCGGGGUAAAGGCCCACCAAGGCGACGAUACGUAGCUGGUCUGAGAGGAUGAUCGGCCACACUGGAACUGAGACACGGUCCAGACUCCUACGGGAGGCAGCAGUGGGGAAUAUUGGACAAUGGGCGCAAGCCUGAUCCAGCCAUACCGCGUGGGUGAAGAAGGCCUUCGGGUUGUAAAGCCCUUUUGUUGGGGAAGAAAAGCAGCAGGUUAAUACCCCGCUGUUCUGACGGUACCCAAAGAAUAAGCACCGGCUAACUUCGUG
rnacentral:rRNA from 1 species